UUGCGUGGAUAGACGCGUGCGG
rnacentral:misc_RNA from 1 species